GACGAACGCUGGCGGCGUGCCUAAUACAUGCAAGUCGAACGCACUCUCGUUUAGAUUGAAGGAGCUUGCUCCUAAUUGAUAAACAUUUGAGUGAGUGGCGGACGGGUGAGUAACACGUGGGUAACCUGCCCUAAAGUGGGGGAUAACAUUUGGAAACAGAUGCUAAUACCGCAUAAACCUAACACCGCAUGGUGUAGGGUUGAAAGAUGGUUUCGGCUAUCACUUUAGGAUGGACCCGCGGUGCAUUAGUUAGUUGGUGAGGUAAAGGCUCACCAAGACCGUGAUGCAUAGCCGACCUGAGAGGGUAAUCGGCCACACUGGGACUGAGACACGGCCCAGACCCCUACGGGAGGCAGCAGUAGGGAAUCUUCC
rnacentral:rRNA from 1 species